rnacentral:rRNA from 1 species
UACGUAGGUGGCAAGCGUUACUCGGAAUCACUAGGCGUAAAGCGCAGGUAGGCGGUUCGAUAAGUCUUUUGUGAAAGCUCCCGGCUUAACUGGGAGAGGCCAAGGGAAACUGUCGGGCUGGAGUGCGGCAGAGGGAGGUGGAAUUCCACGUGUAGCAGUGAAAUGCGUAGAGAUGUGGAGGAACACCGAUGGCGAAGGCAGCCUCCUGGGCCAGCACUGACGCUCAUGCACGAAAGCGUGGGGAGCAAACAGG